UACGGAGGAUGCAAGCGUUAUCCGGAAUGAUUGGGCGUAAAGCGUCCGCAGGUGGCUGUGUAAGUCUGCUGUUAAAGAGUGAGGCUCAACUCAUAAAAGCAGUGGAAACUACACAGCUAGAGUGCGUUCGGGGCAGAGGGAAUUCCUGGUGUAGCGGUGAAAUGCGUAGAGAUCAGGAAGAACACCGGUGGCGAAGGCGCUCUGCUAGGCCGCAACUGACACUGAGGGACGAAAGCGUGGGGAGCAAACAGG
rnacentral:rRNA from 1 species